rnacentral:rRNA from 1 species
UACGGGGGGAGCAAGCGUUGUUCGGAUUUACUGGGCGUAAAGGGCGCGUAGGCGGCCACCGCAAGUCGACUGUGAAAUCUCCGGGCUUAACUCGGAAAGGUCAGCCGAUACUGCGGGGCUAGAGUGCAGAAGGGGCAACUGGAAUUCCCGGUGUAGCGGUGAAAUGCGUAGAUAUCUGAAGGAACGAACCGAUGCCGUAGGCGG